GUGGGGAAUCUUGCGCAAUGGGCGAAAGCCUGACGCAGCCAUGCCGCGUGGAUGAUGAAGGUCUUAGGAUUGUAAAAUCCUUUCACCGGUGAAGAUAAUGACUGUAGCCGGAGAAGAAGCCCCGGCUAACUUCGUGCCAGCAGCCGCGGUAAUACGAAGGGGGCUAGCGUUGCUCGGAUUUACUGGGCGUAAAGGGCGCGUAGGCGGACAUUUAAGUCAGGGGUGAAAUCCCGGGGCUCAAACUCGGAACUGCCUUUGAUACGGGGUGUCUUGAGUAUGAGAGAGGUGUGUGGAACUCCGAGUGUAGAGGUGAAAUUCGUAGAUAUUCGGAAGAACACCAGUGGCGAAGGCGACACACUGGCUCAUUACUGACGCUGAGGCGCGAAAGCGUGGGGAGCAAACAGGAUUAGAUACCCGUGUAGUCC
rnacentral:rRNA from 1 species